rnacentral:rRNA from 1 species
AUGAACGCUAGCGGCAGGCUUAAUACAUGCAAGUUGAGGGGCAGCAUGAUAUACGCGAGUAUAUUGAUGGCGACCGGCGGACGGGUGAGUAAUAGGUAGGAGACCUACCUCAUACAGGGGGAUAGCAUAGAGAAAUCUGUGGUAAUACCCCAUGAGGUUAUAUGAAUAGAGGCAUAUAAUCAAAGCAUAAGCGAUUAUGCGGUAUGAGAGGGGCCUACUGACCAUUAGCUAGUUGGUGAGGUAAGGGCUCACCAAGGCGAAGAUGGUUAGGGGUUUUGAGAGAGAGACCCCCCACAUUGGAACUGAGAGACGGUCCAGACUCCUACGGGAGGCAGCAGUAGGGAAUAUUGGGACAAUGGGCGAAAGCCUGACCCAGCCAUGCCGCGUGAAGGAAGACGGCCUUAUGGGUUGUAAACUUCUUUACUACGCGAAUAGAGGUUAGUACGAGAUACUAAUAGGAAGGUAGUGUAGUAAAAAGCACCGGCUAACUCCGUG